AUCGAACGCUGGCGGCAGGCCUAACACAUGCAAGUCGAACGGUAGCACAGAGAGCUUGCUCUCGGGUGACGAGUGGCGGACGGGUGAGUAAUGUCUGGGAAACUGCCCGAUGGAGGGGGAUAACUACUGGAAACGGUAGCUAAUACCGCAUAACGUCUUCGGACCAAAGUGGGGGACCUUCGGGCCUCACACCAUCGGAUGUGCCCAGAUGGGAUUAGCUAGUAGGUGGGGUAAUGGCUCACCUAGGCGACGAUCCCUAGCUGGUCUGAGAGGAUGACCAGCCACACUGGAACUGAGACACGGUCCAGACUCCUACGGGAGGCAGCAGUGGGGAAUAUUGCACAAUGGGCGCAAGCCUGAUGCAGCCAUGCCGCGUGUAUGAAGAAGGCCUUCGGGUUGUAAAGUACUUUCAGCGGGGAGGAAGGCGAUGUGGUUAAUAACCGCAUCGAUUGACGUUACCCGCAGAAGAAGCACCGGCUAACUCCGUGCCAGCAGCCGCGGUAACAC
rnacentral:rRNA from 1 species